rnacentral:rRNA from 1 species
UACGGGGGGGGCAAGCGUUGUUCGGAAUUACUGGGCGUAAAGGGCUCGUAGGCGGUCUGUCGCGUCGGGAGUGAAAACUUACAGCUCAACUGUGAGCGUGCUUCCGAUACGGGCAGACUUGAGGUAUUCAGGGGAGAACGGAAUUCCUGGUGUAGCGGUGAAAUGCGCAGAUAUCAGGAGGAACACCGGUGGCGAAGGCGGUUCUCUGGGAAUAUCCUGACGCUGAGGAGCGAAAGUGUGGGGAGCGAACAGG